CCCUUAGAUGUUCUGGGCCGCACGCGCGCUACACUGUUCGACGCAGCGAGUCUUAACCUUGACCGAAAGGUUUGGGUAAUCUUCAGCAAAGUCGAACGUGAUGGGGAUCGAUCAUUGCAAUUAUUGAUCGUGAACGAGGAAUUCCUAGUAAGUGCAAGUCAUCAGCUUGCACUGAUUACGUCCCUGCCCUUUGUACACACCGCCCGUCGCUACUACCGAUUGAAUGGUUUAGUGAGAUCUCUGGAUUGACGCUGGCUAGGGGGCGACCCUUGGCCAGACUGUUGAGAAACUGCUCAAACUUGAUCAUUUAGAGGAAGUAAAAGUCGUAACA
rnacentral:rRNA from 1 species